rnacentral:rRNA from 1 species
UACGUAGGUGACAAGCGUUGUCCGGAUUUACUGGGCGUAAAGAGCGCGCAGGCGGUCGUUCAAGUCGAGUGUGAAAGCCCCCGGCUCAACUGGGGAGGGUCACGCGAUACUGAUCGACUCGAAGGCAGGAGAGGGUAGUGGAAUUCCCGGUGUAGUGGUGAAAUGCGUAGAUAUCCGGAGGAACACCAGUGGCGAAGGCGACUUCCUGGCCUGUUCUUGACGCUGAGGCGCGAAAGCUGGGGGAGCAAACGGG